rnacentral:lncRNA from 1 species
UCACCAAGCCGGCUCUCCAGUCCCACUUAUCUUAACUUCAUAUUUCAUUUCAAAGGACACAUACAUGCCAGAGUGCACGUGGAGGUCAGCAUUCCAGGGGUUGGCUUUCUCUUCCCACUAAGUGAGUCCCAGGGACUCAUCCUUACCUAGCAAGCCUUACUGGGCCUGGUUUCUUUUAAUAGUCAUUGUGGCAACUGUGAAGUAAAGUGGCCUUUAUUUCUAAUUUAUUUGGGACAAGGUCUUAAGUAGCCCAGGUUGGCUUGGAAUUCAAUCUGUAACAGAGGAUGACUGAACUCCUGAUUCUCCUGCCCCCACUUCCCACGUGCAGGGCUGCAGGCGUGCGCCACUAUAUGUAGCUGACAGUAGUUUUUGAUAGACUGAUAACGGAACCCUUGAUUUGUAUUUUUAAACACAUUUUAUCAUGUGAAAUAUGGUGAUGCACUCCCACUCCCCAUGCACAUGGGCGAGGGAGGUGGAAGGAUCUGUGUUUUAGGUAGCUCAGCAUCAAUCCCGUAAUUUUAUGCCACUUUCAUCACCCCAGAAACUCUGCAUCCCUUAGGGGCCCUGUCUUCUCCCUUAGUCCUUCUCAGUUGUUAGUAGCUACCAAACUGCUUCUUGACUCUGGAUUUGCCAGUUCCGAGACUCCAGAGAAGCAGAACCACACAUGGGGUGGGGUUUGCAACAGGCUUCUCUCACUUAGCACUAUGCUUGUAAGAGGUAUCAUAUAUUAAGUUAGCUUAACAUAUUUAAUGUAAUUUUUAAACACCUAAGAGAGCUAUAUGGAACAUGUAUCUAAGGCUCUGUACACCAAAAGAUCAACAGCCACUUUCUUCCAAUGAUGGUCUAACAGUUGACCUUAACAUUUUAUUUUUGAUAAGACUUUUCUGUUUAAAAACAAAACAAGAGGUCUGUGAGAGGCUCCAUGGACCAUGGUUCUUGUCACCGUGCCUGAAUCCUUCAGACUUCUGUAUUUGAGGCAAGAGAACCAACUCCAAUAAAUUGUCUUCUAACCUCCACUUGCACACACUGUGGUGUGACUGCACACAAAUAAAUGUAAAAGAAAACUUAACUUACAGCAAAAUAAAGCCAGCAAGCACAUGC